UGUUGGAGACAGGUAAACAAUACAGUCAAUACGUAUUAUUAGUAAAAUGUAUUGUGUUGUGGUUAAACUGCGUAUGGGUUAUAGAUAUUUAGCGAGUGUGUGGCAAUAAUCAUCAUCUAUGCAGCUCAGAUUCUGAUUUCACUGAAGAUGCCAAGGUUGGGAGUCAUCAAGAAGUAAGAUUACAUUUGUACAGUCUGGACAAUUUUAAGUGUCAUGGUAUGCUUUAUUGUGUAAUAUUCAUUCAACUUCAAUAAGCCACAUAUUGUCUCCUCUCAGCAGUUGAUUAAAACCAAGUGAACAUCAUGUUAUGAAUUGUCUCUCCUCUUCUACAGCACAUGGACAAAGACAACGAUGCCACGGGUGACGGUUUGGACUCUGACUUCGAGCAACCCAGUGGGCACGGUGUAAAUAGCAGUGAUGGUGAAAGGGAGAGGAUGAAUGAUGAGCCUGAAAAACACUCCCUUGAUGAGCGCACAGACAAAGACAGCGAUGGCACGGGCGACGCUAUGGACUCCGACUUCGAGCAGUCCCUUAACGAGCACAUGGAUAGCGAUGGCACAGAGUCAAUCAUCUACUCUGAUUUUGAG